UCUUUGUGGAAAUUUUUAUUUGAUGUUAGAAGUUGUAGACUACCUACCUUUAAACAAAAAAAUCUUAUUUUUUAAUACUGAUUUUUUUUUUCAAAUAGAAUAGAUUAUCCUUCUUUGUGGAAAUUUUCAUUUGGUAUUAGAGAUUAUAGAUUAUCUCCUUCCAAUUUAACUUUUUGAAUUUAUUUGAUUUUUUUACUGAAGUUAGAUUCAUAACUACACUUCUAUCAAGAAGUAUUCUUU
rnacentral:lncRNA from 1 species